rnacentral:lncRNA from 1 species
AAAAAAAAAAAAUGGAAGUAUUGAGAAAGUUACAGAUAAAGGGUUUAUCUUGCGUACCGCAACUGCUUUGGAUGUUGGCAUUUCACGUCCAGCAUUCUCAAUCAUUUCAAGGUCCUCAGCCGUCAAAUGGUUCAUGAAACCCUUCAUACAAUAAGUGUUUUCAAACUCUUCCCAUGACAUAUCAGAAAAGUUGUUGAGCCCGAGCGUGCAUCCAUAAGUUCUUUCUCGGUUAUGCUUUCUAACAAACUCAAACGUUUCCUUAAAAUUUGCGAACCGCCGCUCCUUCUCAGCAGCAUCUGCGUACGUGCGUCCAAACUUUCUUAUCCAUAGCUCGUACCUACCGCGAAUCAGCAUGUCGGUUGCCCAAGUGACGGCCUUGUUAGUAAGGGUCUUCACAAAGGAGUUCAUGCUGCCACUGAGACAGAGGAUGUAUUUGUUUUACAAACCACAAAUAACUAGUAGGCCCGGAAGGAACUGAACUAAGACAUUCCAAGGAGAAGAAGAAUCCAAGAUACAUGCCUUUCAACAUUUUUUUAAAGUUUUUUAGGUCUUUUUCUGAUUUAUACUUCCUUACUUUUUAAGUUUUUGAAAUUGACUAUUUGAGGUCAAAUAAAUUGAAGAGUUUGUUAAAUUUACUGAUGAAUAAUUUUAGUUACUUUAUAGUAAAUGCAACGAAAAUAAUGAACGGCUAACGACUAAUAGAGUUAAAAAAAAUUGCGUCAUCUUAAUAGAGGUUACUCAUAUUCAUGACUUUUUGGUGUUGUCAUCUAAUAGGGCCUGCAGUAGUUGGCAAAUGUCCAGUCAAAUUAUCAAUUAUUUCAUCAAUGAAUCCCGUUAAUAAUGAUUUCAUAGAGUUUACUCAGAUUGAUUGAUGAUUUCAUCAAUGAAUUUGACAGGCUACUAGUCGAGGGUGUAUUUAUAUUCGGCUUCUAAGUUAUCUUCUCGGAGUAAGAUAGACCAAUUACAGAUGCCGAAACGUUGCAAGGAGCUAAAAAUCCAACUCCCACCUCGCAAUCACAAAGAAAACAAAAAAAGAAAUCCUCAGAGCCGAUUAGUUGUCACUAGAUAAGUAGAUCAUUUAUUCUGGCACUCAAAAAGGGCUGUUAACACACAAAGUAAUUACGGAAUAACUUGUUCAAAUGAUUUUCCCCCCCUUUUUUAAUGCUUUUGUAGACAUCUAACCAAGCUCCUCAUCUACCAAUUGUUGCAGAAUCCUUCGGAAAAAAAAAAAAAAGAGCAAAUAUCGAAACACACCAGUCAAGUAAUCAAGAAAACCUUAAAAUUUCUCAGAGGAGGGUGAAUUUAGGAAUGCGAGAUCAAAUCAAAACAACCAUCCAAUCGUUUAAUAGAAAAGGAAUUUAAAAAAAGCGAAAUUUCGCAUCUGAGAAAACCCUAGCUUUCGUAAUAAUAAAAUAUAUCAUAUAAACGAAAAAGAAAACUUUCUAGACAUCCGAAUACCUUGAGAUCGGAAGGAAGCGAGCUCUGGUUUCAACCCGAAUCAACAGAUCGGAGACGGGAGAGAGAAGGGCGAUUUUGAAACCCUAGAUCAAAUGGGGGUUCGCACUUUUUGGUACCAGGAAAAGGGUAACCGAAAAUGGAAAUAAAUUUUCAUAUAUAUUAUUUAUGAACCAAAAAUUGACUCAGUUUGGAUUUUUCGGUUCAGGCGUAACUCCAGUUAGUUUGACAUUUAUUUAAAUUUUAACUAUUUAUUGAUUAUUUUAGUUUUAUUAGCUACAAAAUAAUUUAAAAUAUUAAAUUUGACAUAACUAUUAAUUUUUUUGAUAAAACUUUUAGUUUAUGCAUUUAUGGUUGUAUAAUUUUAAAAAUUUAAAUUUAUAUUAGCCUUUCCAGUAGGGAUGUAAAACGGGUUGGGCGGACCACGCACUGCCUCGGGCCGGGCUGCGGCGCGCAUAGGUAAUGUAGCAUCCUUGUCGGGUCGAGCCGGCCUGAGAUGCAGUGCCAUGCCGCCCCUCGCCUCCCCCUUAGGCUCGGCGGCUCGGUACAGCAUGACCUGAAACGGGCCGAGGAGAGGCAUGACACGAACCCCAAGACCCAAGGCAACAUGGUCUAAGCUCCUGGGAAGAAGGGCCUGGUUUGACCCUUCUCUCUAGGAAUUAUCCACUCCAAAGGGUAGGAGGAUAGUUUUUGGUACAAUAGACCAUAUACAUUUUUUGUUUGGUCCAUUGGAGCAGAACAUCUAACCUCUUUUUUUAAAAAAAAAUUACUAAAAAUUUAUAUUCUUUAACAAAAAAUUAAAAAUUUAUUGUUUUAUAAUUAUUUUUAUAAAUGUUAAAAUUUUUAAUUAAUUUAAAUAUAAAUAAUUUUAUUGUUUAUAUUUUAAAUUUUAUAGUUUUUAAUUAAAUAAAAAAUAAAAAAUAAAAAGGCACAGCCAGGCCCGGCUCGGCCCGGAGCACCACCCGACCCGUGCCUUCCGGGCCAAGAGACCGUACUGGGCUGGAGGCUUGAUACUCUGGCCUGUCACGGCCCGGCCCAAUUUAUAACCGGGUAGGAGCGGGCCGGCCGUGGAAGCUUGAUUCGGCCCGAAUUAUAUGGGCAGCUCCGGCCCGGCAUGGCCCACACUACAUCCCUGCUUUCAGGUGACACCAGACUCAGUUGAAUAUUUUCUUUCAUGAAACAGGUGGAAGCACUUUUAAAGCUCAACUUGUAGAAUUUUUUGUAACAACGAAAUUAAAAGACCAACGGUUUUGGAUUGGCUUAUAACGAUCAAAUUAUAUUUGGUAUAAUUACUAUAUUUUUAGAUAUUCUAGAUAGCAAUAUAAAGUAUAGAAUUUUCUGUGGAGAUUUACUACAGCAAAUAAAUAAUGUUGUACCUACGUGUGUCUGUCUCCUCAAAAGUAAUUCCAUGUGCCAAAAAAAAGAAAAGAAAAAAUAAAUAAAAGAAAUCUUUUCUCAAAAAAAAAAAUCCCAAGAAAACACUCGGGGUCCCGUUUGGUUUUCUGGCACGAAGCUCGGCCCAUAUCUAUGUGGGCCCGCCUUCAUUUUAUACCUUGGGGCAGAGUACACGCGGAUUUGAGGCGCGACUCAUUUCGCAAUCACCCAAUAUACGACCCCAGAAUUCUAGAAUUUUCUGUUUUUUUUUUUUUUUUUUUUUUUUUUUUUUUUUUUGUCCAGAGAGAAAUAUAGUAUGCUAUUUAUUUCGUUUUUUUUUUAAAAAAAAAAAAUUUAGGAUGAAUUUUAGAUAAUAUUUUGGUUAUCUAAUUAUAGGUAUAGUACAUUUUAUUAGAUACAAACUUAGUUUGGUAGAAAGUUGCCAAAAAUUAUUAUUUUUUACAUUACAAAAGAAUUGAAAUUUUAAAAACACGAACAAUAUUCCAUCCUGUAAUAUAGAUGCAGCGCCACACAAGAAACACUGGGCCUGCAGUUUGCUUCAAAAUAAAAUUAUGAGAAAUAAUUCUCGAUUAAAAAGAGUUUUUCAUGAAAAACAAAUUUUAGCUCUUUAAUGUUUCAUUUAUAAGAACGAAAAAAUAAAUUUUCAGCCAUGCUUGACUGGUUGAAAGAAAAUUUUUUGAUGAAAAUUAAUUUUAUAUAAUUUUCUUCUAUUAUAUAUUACAUAUUAUUUAUAUAAAUAAUUAUCGAAUUAUAUAUAUUAUAAUUAAAACUUAUAUAUAUUUUUUUAUCAUUAUCGUCAUCAACAUCAUCUAUAUUUAUAAUUUACAUAUAUUCAAAAUUAUAUUAUAUAAUAUAAUAUAUAAUAAGUAAUAACAACAUUAUACAUAAUAUAUAUAAAUAUAUUUAUAAAUAAAUAAAUGAAUAUAUAUAUAUAUAUAUAUAUAUAUAUAUAUAUAUAUAUAUAUAUAGCAGGGCUGCUGUGUUCUCAGGAGCACGGAGGCCUCUCAGGCUUCCGUGCUCUUAAGUCGUUUUCGAUGAUGGUAUUUUCGAAUCGACGAUCGGCUUCGUUAGACUUGAUCUAGCACCAAUAAGCUAAGUAAGCGCCGGAAGGCAACUGAACCUAAGACAUUCAAGGAGAAGAAGAAUCAAGAACAUGGCCUCUUCAAACAUUUUUUUAAAGUUUUUAGUCUUUUUCUGAUUUAAAAUUUCCUUACUUUAUAAGUUUUGAAAAUGGACUAUUUGAGGUCAAAUUUAAAUUGAAAGAUUUUGUUAAAUAUUACUGUCAUGAAUAAUUUUAGUUAUUAUAGUAAAUGCAACGAAAAUAAUGAAGCGCUAACGACUAAUAGACGUUAAAAAAAUUGCGUAAUCUAAUAGAGGUUACUCAUGAUUCAUGAUCUUUUGUUGUUGUCAUCCGUGGGUGAGUUAGAUUGGCGAAAUGUUCGACAGAUCAACAUUACCAAUUUAUUUCAUCAAUGAAUCCCUGUUACAUAUGAUUUCAUAAGUAUUACUCAUGAAUUGAUUGAUGAUCUUCAUAUUCAAUGAAUUUGACAGGCUACUAGUCGAGCGGUAGUUUUUAUAUUCGGCUUCUAGUUAUUCUUCUCGGAACGUAAGAAGUAAAUAAAUGACCAAUUUAACAGAUGCCGAAACGUUUGCAAGCAGCUAAAAUCCAACUCCACCUUCGCAAUCACAAAUAAGAAAACAAAAAAAGAAAUCCUCAUAGCGAUUAGUUGUCACUAGAAUCAAGUAGAUCAUUUAUUCUGGCACCUCAAAAAGGUCUUUAACACACAAAGUAAUUACGGAAUAACUUGGUUCAAAUGAUUUUCCCCCCUUUUUUAAUGCUUUUGUAAGACAUCCUACACCAAGCUCCUCAUCUACCAAUUGUUGCAGAAUUCCUUCGGAAAAAAAAAAAAAAGAUGCAAAUACGAAACCACAUCCAAGUCAAGUCAAUCAAGAAAACUUAACAAAUUUCUCAGAGAGGGUGAAUUUAGGAAUGCGACGAUACAAUCAAAAACCCAUUCCCAUCGUUAUAAUAGAAAAGGAAUUUAAAAAAAAGCGAAAAUUCGCAUCUGAGAAAACCCUAGCUUUCGUAAUAAUAAAAUAUAUCAUAUAAACGACAAAAGAAAACCUAUACCAGAAAUACCGAAAAUGGAGAGCACAUUCAGAUCUAGCAUUUCACCGGGUAAGAAAAGCAAACUUUUUCUAGAUAAUAUUCAUAUGGCCCAAUCGUAAGUGUAGCACAUUUUACUAGAUUUCGAAUGUGGUAUCAUAGAAAGGCAGUCGCUAGAAACAAUACUUCUCGCACAAUGUAACCAACAUUUAAAUCAGAAACAGCAUAACACAACAGCACACAUAGUACCCAAGUUUAGAAACUAGUAUUAGUAGGCAACGAAACAAAAUAGCCUUCAUACAAUAAGCAGUAAUUAGAGUCUCAGGACGGGGUACAUAAUAAGUUAUAACAUAAGCUUAGCACACGCCAUGACUGUGCCAACCUAAUAACAAAAUAGAGCAGUCUUUGCUUGCCAAUAGAGAUAUGCCUAACUCAUCUUCACAUUACAAGCAGCACCACGAAGCUCAUCCAGCCUCCUCUUAGCAUCCCUUCGAGCGCCUUUGGGGGGGCUGCCUUGUUGAGAACGCCCUUUUGUCCUCCAAGCACCCUAGUUCGUGAAGGAUGGAAACAGUGACAAUGCGGCAAACAGGUCAAAAGAACUUCAAAAAUAGAAAAAAAAAUUUGGAAGUAUUGAGAAAGUUAAAGAUAAAGGGUUUAUCUUGCUCACCGCAGCUGCCUGGGGUGUUGGCAUUUCACAUCCAGCAUUGUUAAUCAUUUCAAGGUCCUCAGCCGUCAAAUGGUUCAUGAAACCCUUCAUACAAUAAGUGUUUUCAAACUCUUCCCAUGACAUAUCAGAAAACUCGUUGAGCCCUAGCGUGCAUCCAUAAGUUCUUUCUCGG